rnacentral:rRNA from 1 species
UACGUAGGGUGCAGGCGUUAAUCGGAAUUACUGGGCGUAAAGCGUGCGCAGGCGGCGCGUUAAGACAGGUGUGAAAGCCCCGAGCUUAACUUGGGAAUUGCGCUUGUGACUGGCGAGCUGGAGUGUGGCAGAGGGGGGUGGAAUUCCACGUGUAGCAGUGAAAUGCGUAGAGAUGUGGAGGAACACCGAUGGCGAAGGCAGCCUCCUGGGCCAGCACUGACGCUCAUGCACGAAAGCGUGGGGAGCAAACAGG